rnacentral:sRNA from 1 species
AGCUCUGGAUGAGGGGGAUAUUGCCUUGUUGAAAACUUAUGGUCAGAGCACUUACUCUAGGCAGAUCAAGCAAGUUGAAGAUGACAUUCAGCAACUUCUCAAGAAAAUUAAUGAGCUCACUGGUAUUAAAGAAUCUGACACUGGCCUGGCCCCACCAGCACUCUGGGAUUUGGCUGCAGAUAAGCAGACACUCCAGAGUGAACAGCCUUUACAGGUUGCCAGGUGUACAAAGAUAAUCAAUGCUGAUUCUGAGGACCCAAAAUACAUUAUCAACGUAAAGCAGUUUGCCAAGUUUGUGGUGGACCUUAGUGAUCAGGUGGCACCUACUGACAUUGAAGAAGGGAUGAGAGUGGGGUAAGAUUUCUAUUUACAAUAAAUACUUUUCUUUCACUAAGGAUACUGUCUCACAUUCAUAUCCUUGGCUUUGUAGUGAAUAAAUGGACUGAGUUCCUUGGAAUACCAAAGGAUGACCUAGUAAUGUACUAUAGUUGAAAAUUCUUUCUUCUGCAUCUGCUUCCUAACUUCCCAUUGGCUUCCCUGACUCCCCUACUCCCACUGUUGUUUAUUAUGAAUGGCUUCAAAUUUCAGAGUUGAGGUUACCAGUCCAUUUAAGGUAACAUGGUAUAGGUUGGGGGAGUACUUGCUUUAGGAUAGUUGUGAUGCUAAGUGUGUUAAUGUCUAUAGAAUACAUAACAACUCACUUAGUAAAUUAAAAAAAAAUCUCCCCUCCCUC